GAAAUGUUCAAUGCUUGGAUGGCACA
rnacentral:sRNA from 1 species